UGAAUACUUUUUAAAACAUUUUAAAAAGAACUAAUAUUUUUAAAUGUUGUUCUCAAAUUUGAAAAUGGAACAGUGUGUGCGAGCGUUUGUAUUUUGGAUAUUGAUCUGUUUAGUCUUAAUUUACUUACACAAGUGUUAUCGUGUUAAUUUAUUGCGAACAUGGCAUAUCAAUUUUGAAAAGGCUUGUGAACAAUUUGAAAAUUCUUGGACGUUUCGAUAAACGCCCAAGAGAACCACAGCAAGAAAACCACAUGAUCAACGACGAAGAACUUGAUAUUUUAAUUUACUUUUCGGCUUUUCCGAAAAGAUCAGUGAGAGAAGGAGAACUUGAAAUUGGAAUUUCGAAAAGUAAAAUACACCGUGUAU